rnacentral:rRNA from 1 species
CAAUAGCGUAUAUUAAAGUUGUUGCGGUAAAAAAGCUCGUAGUUGGAUUUCUACCGAAGAUAGCCGGUCGGGUCUUCGACCUUGUAUCUGGUUUUGUCUUUGGUAUCCUCAUAGGGAACGUUUCUGCGCUUUAUUGCGUGGCGCGGUAUCUAUGACUUUUACUUUGAGGAAAUUAGAGUGUUCACGGCAGGCAAACGCCUUGAAUAUAUUAGCAUGGAAUAAUAACAUAGGAUCUUCGUCCUAUUUUGUUGGUUUCUAGGGCUAAGAUAAUGAUUAAUAGGGAUAAUUGGGGGCAUCUGUAUCAACGCGUCAGAGGUGGAAUUCUUGGAUUGCGUUGCGACAAACUACUGCGAAAGCAUUUGCCAAGGAUGUUUUCAUUGA